AAGGUUUCCGUAGGUGAACCUGCGGAAGGAU
rnacentral:ncRNA from 10 species